GGAGAGGUGCCGGAGUGGUCGAUCGGGACAGUCUUGAAAACUGUUGUGGCAGCAAUGUCACCGUGGGUUCGAAUCCCACCCUCUCCG
rfam:Candidatus Buchananbacteria bacterium RIFCSPHIGHO2_01_FTLL_46_12 rifcsphigho2_01_scaffold_3576, whole genome shotgun sequence.